rnacentral:rRNA from 1 species
GAAGGUGUGCUGUGAGGCAUGCUGGAGGUAUCAGAAGUGCGAAUGCUGACAUAAGUAACGAUAAAGCGGGUGAAAAGCCCGCUCGCCGGAAGACCAAGGGUUCCUGUCCAACGUUAAUCGGGGCAGGGUGAGUCGACCCCUAAGGCGAGGCCGAAAGGCGUAGUCGAUGGGAAACAGGUUAAUAUUCCUGUACUUGGUGUUACUGCGAAGGGGGGACGGAGAAGGCUAUGUUGGCCGGGCGACGGUUGUCCCGGUUUAAGCGUGUAGGCUGGUUUUCCAGGCAAAUCCGGAAAAUCAAGGCUGAGGCGUGAUGACGAGGCACUACGGUGCUGAAGCAACAAAUGCCCUGCUUCCAGGAAAAGCCUCUAAGCAUCAGGUAACAUCAAAUCGUACCCCAAACCGACACAGGUGGUCAGGUAGAGAAUACCAAGGCGCUUGAGAGAACUCGGGUGAAGGAACUAGGCAAAAUGGUGCCGUAACUUCGGGAGAAGGCACGCUGAUAUGUAGGUGAAGCGACUUGCUCGUGGAGCUGAAAUCAGUCGAAGAUACCAGCUGGCUGCAACUGUUUAUUAAAAACACAGCACUGUGCAAACACGAAAGUGGACGUAUACGGUGUGACGCCUGCCCGGUGCCGGAAGGUUAAUUGAUGGGGUUAGCGGUAACGCGAAGCUCUUGAUCGAAGCCCCGGUAAACGGCGGCCGUAACUAUAACGGUCCUAAGGUAGCGAAAUUCCUUGUCGGGUAAGUUCCGACCUGCACGAAUGGCGUAAUGAUGGCCAGGCUGUCUCCACCCGAGACUCAGUGAAAUUGAACUCGCUGUGAAGAUGCAGUGUACCCGCGGCAAGACGGAAAGACCCCGUGAACCUUUACUAUAGCUUGACACUGAACAUUGAGCCUUGAUGUGUAGGAUAGGUGGGAGGCUUUGAAGUGUGGACGCCAGUCUGCAUGGAGCCGACCUUGAAAUACCACCCUUUAAUGUUUGAUGUUCUAACGUUGGCCCGUAAUCCGGGUUGCGGACAGUGUCUGGUGGGUAGUUUGACUGGGGCGGUCUCCUCCUAAAGAGUAACGGAGGAGCACGAAGGUUGGCUAAUCCUGGUCGGACAUCAGGAGGUUAGUGCAAUGGCAUAAGCCAGCUUGACUGCGAGCGUGACGGCGCGAGCAGGUGCGAAAGCAGGUCAUAGUGAUCCGGUGGUUCUGAAUGGAAGGGCCAUCGCUCAACGGAUAAAAGGUACUCCGGGGAUAACAGGCUGAUACCGCCCAAGAGUUCAUAUCGACGGCGGUGUUUGGCACCUCGAUGUCGGCUCAUCACAUCCUGGGGCUGAAGUAGGUCCCAAGGGUAUGGCUGUUCGCCAUUUAAAGUGGUACGCGAGCUGGGUUUAGAACGUCGUGAGACAGUUCGGUCCCUAUCUGCCGUGGGCGCUGGAGAACUGAGGGGGGCUGCUCCUAGUACGAGAGGACCGGAGUGGACGCAUCACUGGUGUUCGGGUUGUCAUGCCAAUGGCACUGCCCGGUAGCUAAAUGCGGAAGAGAUAAGUGCUGAAAGCAUCUAAGCACGAAACUUGCCCCGAGAUGAGUUCUCCCUGAGACUUUAAGUCUCCUGAAGGAACGUUGAAGACGACGACGUUGAUAGGCCGGGUGUGUAAGCGCAGCGAUGCGUUGAGCUAACCGGUACUAAUGAACCGUGAGGCUUAACCUU